AUUGAACGCUGGCGGAAUGCUUUACACAUGCAAGUCGAACGGCAGCACGGACUUCGGUCUGGUGGCGAGUGGCGAACGGGUGAGUAACAUAUCGGAACGUAUCCAAUAAUGGGGGAUAACCAAUCGAAAGGUUGGCUAAUACCGCAUACGCCCUACGGGGGAAAGCUAGGGACCUUCGGGCCUGGCGUUAAUGGAGCGGCCGAUAUCUGAUUAGCUAGUUGGUGGGGUAAAGGCCCACCAAGGCGACGAUCAGUAGCUGGUCUGAGAGGACGACCAGCCACACUGGAACUGAGACACGGUCCAGACUCCUACGGGAGGCAGCAGUGGGGAAUUUUGGACAAUGGGCGCAAGCCUGAUCCAGCCAUUCCGCGUGAGUGAAGAAGGCCUUCGGGUUGUAAAGCUCUUUCGCAAGGGAAGAAAACUUAGCCUCUAACAUAGGCUGGGGUUGACGGUACCUUGAUAAGAAGCACCGGCUAACUACGUGCCAGCAGCCGCCGUAA
rnacentral:rRNA from 1 species